rnacentral:tRNA from 1 species
GUUACUAUACUUUAUAACUAGAAGGCUUGGUUUGCAACUAAGUAGAGGAGAAACUCCUAGUACCA